rnacentral:rRNA from 1 species
GUAGGUGGCAAGCGUUGUCCGGAAUUAUUGGGCGUAAAGCGCGCGCAGGUGGUUCUUUAAGUCUGAUGUGAAAGCCCCCGGCUCAACCGGGGAGGGUCAUUGGAAACUGGGGAACUUGAGUGCAGGAGAGGAAAGUGGAAUUCCACGUGUAGCGGUGAAAUGCGUAGAUAUGUGGAGGAACACCAGUGGCGAAGGCGACUUUCUGGCCUGUAACUGACACUGAGGCGCGAAAGCGUGGGGAGCAAACAGGGAUUAGAUACCCUGGUAGUCCACGCCGUAACGAUGAGUGCUAAGUGUUGGGGGGGUUUCCCGCCCCUCAGUGCUGCAGCUAACGCAUUAAGCACUCCGCCUGGGGAGUACGGUCGCAAGACUG